GUUAUGGCUCUCUUUAUGUUGUUUUUAUUCUCAUCUGAGGCUUUGUCUUUAUUUGCCUUUGACUGAAACAUUGUUUUCUUUCUUUUACCCCUCCCUGCUCAUUAUCUGGUUCAGCCCCGAGGCAAAAGUAGUCAGGCCCACCCAGGACACCCUGAGAGCAGCCCGCGCCACAGGUACCUCUCUCCUGGACUCUAGAAACUUGGGAUGAUGGUGGAACCAAACCUUUCCAACAAGCAUGAUUUUUAUUAACUCAGUUAGGCACAAUCACCUCGUCAAAGAUGUGGCAGAUUUAUCAUAUUAUUUCGAUUGCAGCGUUUGUGAUCCGCUGCUUUGAGGUUUAAACCCGGCGUUCCAUGAUCUUCCCUUAUUCUCGAGACCAUGUUGUCGGCUCUUAAACGAGAGGGGAAUCGCCUCCAUCAGGCCGCUCCCCUUCUCCUUUAAAUGUUUUUUUUCACUGCUUCUCUUUGCCCUGCUGCUUUUUGAAUGGCAUCAUGAAGUAUUGCCUUCACACAUUUUGCUUCUUCUGACUUUGUAGUACGCUCCUCGCCCACUAGAUGGCACUCUCUGAGCCCCACUGUCCCCACCUACCCACCCACACCCCAGCGGUCAUGCCUUUAGCUCUGUUUUUCUUUUUUGUUUUCCUUCCUCUUUCAUUCCCUUCAUAGUUUUCCAACAGGAUAUGAUGCAUUAACUCCUGGUCUUCCUUCCACGUUAACUCCCAUUUUCUCCUCCGUUUCCUUUCCAGACCUCUUUAAACCCACCCCCUUUACACCACAUAGUCUCCUAAACUCCUGAACUAAUCUUCCCAUGAGGGUUGUAGAGAAACUAAAUGUGCUUUUUCCCCUCACAGUUUCUUUAUGUUGUACAUUUGAGAUUUUCCAAGUAGAAAUUCAGCAGAGGAGAAGGCAUUGCCUGGCCAAAUAAUUUGAAGCACACAUGCGCAGCGUGCACAUGCCUACUCACAGCUGCAUCACUGUACGAUGGAGGUCAAUGAAACUGGGAUGUCAGCUUGUCUGACCCUCUGUCUCCAUGAUGACGGGUCGCAGUAAGAACAUGCUGUUCUUCCCUUAGAGUUUUUGCUCUGUCAGUGGAAAUCUCCAGAGAGGCUUUUGGCAUUUCUCCUGCUUCUGUUUGAAAAGAUAUGUGGCAUUGAACUUUCACAUAGUGAGCUCUGAAGCCAGAAUCCCCCCCCCCAAAAAAGCAAAACACACACACACACACAUACACACAGUGAUACGGUGAGACGCAGUCCAUUAUCUGUGAAUGCUGUCUUACACGUGCAAGUGAGUGCCUGUUUUGUGUGUUUGCAAAUUUCUACAUGAGUGUGACUCUUUUUGUAUCCUUUCUUAUUUUUCCGUUCAACAUCAUUUUGUUUUCAUGCUCUAAAUGUCAGAUUUACAAACUAUAAAAUGUAAAAAACCAGUGAAAAAUGCCCGCCACAGUUCCCCCGAUGUCUUGUUUUCUCUAAAAGCCUUUCAGCUAGCAACUAAAAGCUAAAAAUCGACACGAGUAGAGUGUUUGACAGAUGAACAGCUUAACGAGACAAUUUCCUACCAUUCAGAUCCUUUCCAGGCAUUUUAAAUGAAUCUGCAAUAUUAUUCAUUAAUUCAUAGUCUCAUGAAGUCGGAGCAUUUUUCACUAUAAAGCAGUUUUAGCACAAAUUUUUUUUAAAAAAAAAAAACAACAACUAGUGAUCUGAGCCCCACUCUCUGCAGUGUUUAAUUUUUGUCUGGGUCUUCCUGCAGCCGGAGCAGAUCACCAGGCGCCGCUGGCUGCGUUUCCUCCCGUUCUGACCUCUCAGACGUCACUUCAUCAGCUUCCUCCUCCUCCUCAAAGGAUAAGUCCUUCCUGCUGCGGGUCCUCAGGGCAGCGCUCCCCGUCCACUUGCUCCUCCUGCUCCUCAUCGGCCUGGCCUGUCUGGUUCCCAUGACGGAGGAGGACUACAGCUGCCACCACGCCAACAACUUUGCUCGCUCCUUCCAUCCCAUGCUGCGCUACACCAACGGACCUCCACCCAUAUGAGGAGCAGCUGAUUUUUGUAUUUAUUUUUUUUAAAUCUACCUACUGCUUUGCCAAGGACUCCACUGACUCAUGUGAAUGUUUCCUAUUCACCCUGUGCCCUAAAGGAACAAACUCUUCCCCCUUGCUGGGGAUGUAUUAUGAAGUAUUUCAGAGGUGACAUGAAGACUGCUGUCACAAAACAUUGCACACCCACCCACUCACCUGAGUCACCUCAACCCUUUAAAAAAACAAACAAACAACAAAAACACUCUGGAUACCCCCCCCCCCCCAGAAAGAAAAAAGAGAAAAAAUUCAUGUCGUUUUAACUUAAAUAAGUAUUUUAUUUUUAAGGUUUCUGGAGAAACCUGCGAAAUCGUUGAAAAACAAAGCACUAUUUAUAUACUGUAUGUUGGGAGCCAAAGUCGACUGUGCAUUUUUGUGCAUUAUAUCAAGUGCUGCUACUAUUUAUUUAGUGUUCAAUCUGUUACUAGAUUGUUAGCAUUGAUUAAGCUGAAGCCCCACUGUGAGUGGGGGGGAUAUUGUAAAUUUUAAGAGCAGGCCUGCCGUCAGAGUAGCAGAUUAUUUACAGCCUUGGGUCUGAAGAGAUUAGUUUCAGACUCACGUUUGAACAUCGACUGAGGAAAAAAAAAGACCAAAACCGCACAGAAUCAGGUCAGCAGAAGUAUUUUUCCCCAGGAUGACUCGUUUCAGAAGGACCUGCCUGUCAAUUUGGAAAUGAAGUCUAAAACCUGCACGUAAAGCACUGACACGAGCACUGUCUGAAGGUACUGCACUGAUGCCCUCCAGCCAAGAUGGCAGACUUCUUUCUCCAAAAGCCAAGGCUUGUACUUUUUUCUUUUUUUUUUUAAAUUUUAGUAUUUUAUCAACUGGGACAAAAAUGAAAAAAAAAAAAAGAGGAUGAGCUCUCAUUUGUAUAUCAUUGUUUGAAAUGCCUUUGAGUACAGGCAGUUAUUUUUUUAUCUUUCAGUUUGAGCAUGCACUUGAAAGUCUCUCGCUUUUACGAAGGCCAAACAAUCACUGGUAGUUUUAGUAGACGGCUGUGACAUGAAAUAGUGUGCUUUGUAAUAACUGCGAUUAUUAUUCUGCGGUGAUGAGACAUCUGAAUCUGUUUAAAAAAAAAUUAAAUAUGAAAAUGGUUAUUUAUGUAUGUACAGUUUGCUAAUGCCAACUUCAUGGAGAAUACCCUCUUUGCAAGUAAUAAAACAUGAAAUAUUUACUUCUGUGGAUUUUGAUUUGGAGAAAAUCGAGUCAGGAGAAAGGCGGUGAUGAACAAUGCUUGUUGUUUUUAUUUGUAUGCACAGUAAACAAACGACAGUCAAGGCAGGUUUGGCUGGAUUUACACUUCCAAAUCUGAUGUUUUGAUCCUGUGUGGAGGCUUUCCACACGUCUCUCAAAUGACACAAAUCUGCAGCUGCCUCUUUUUUUUAAUGCUUCUCCCGUGGCAACAUAAAUUAUAAUUGCCUGCAGUUUCCACUCAUCACAGGUUGCAGGUAAUUUCAUGUUUGGGCUGGCAGCAUUUUGCAUUGAAAGCACGCAGAAUAGCAGCCAGACUCGUAUCUAUCGCUACAGAAGCUGUGUUUUGAUCCCAGAUUCAGUUGCUUUAUUUUUUUAUUUUAUUUUUUUUCUGGAGUCAGCUUGGCUCCUGUGUUAAAGUACUUAUUUUUUGCAUCAACAAACUAAAGGCUGGGUAAAAACAUUUAAUGUCCCCCAAAUGCAACUGGAUUAAUAAAACAAUUAGUUAAAAACGCAACUAGCAAACCAUCAGUUGAGCAAAAGGUGUCAAAUACGGACUCAUCCCUGCUUCCCAAGUGUGACUGUGUGCAGUUAAUCAGCUGCCGUGUGACUGCAAACAAAAUUAAGAGAAAGGUACACCUAGUGAGCAGAGUGCUGUGUGCAUCGGCUUUAUUAACGUAGAGAGAAAAAGAGGAAGGAAGGAAGCAGGCAGAGCCGGGGCCUCAUACACUGAAACAGCCAAUGAUGGUGCAAACAAGAAGUCACUAAAACCUCAUUUGAAAAAUCGUAUCUCAUUGUGUUUAAAAAAAAAAUGUGUUGACCUGAGUUCCAGGGCAUCCAAGACAUUUUUACACUAAUCUACAGUGUACACAAGUAUUAUAUAUAUUUUGCUUCCAAGGAGCCAAACCUCCUUGUAAUUUCAGUUUUCUGACCUUUCUGAAGGUCUUUCGGUUUUUCUUUGGACAUUGGUUCUUUCACACCAUAUUUUUUUCUUUAAC
ensembl:lncRNA